rnacentral:rRNA from 1 species
UGCCAGCCGCCGCGGUAAGACGGAGGGUGCAAACGUUGUUCGGAAUCACUGGGCAUAAAGCGCACGUAGGCGGCCAAGUCAGUUUGGUGUGAAAGCCCCCGGCUCAACCGGGGAAUUGCAUCGGAUACUGCUUGGCUAGAGGACGGUUGGGGUGAGUGGAACUCCUGGUGGAGCGGUGAAAUGCGUAGAUAUCAGGAGGAACACCAGUGGCGAAAGCGACUCACUGGACCGUAUCUGACGCUGAGGUGCGAAAGCUAGGGUAGCGAACGGGAUUAGAUA